rnacentral:rRNA from 1 species
AUUGAACGCUGGCGGCAGGCCUAACACAUGCAAGUCGAGCGGAAACGAUGGGAGCUUGCUUCCAGGCGUCGAGCGGCGGACGGGUGAGUAACGCGUGAGAAUCUGCCCAUUAGUGGGGGAUAACUCGGGGAAACUCGAGCUAAUACCGCAUAAUCCCUACGGGGGAAAGCAGGGGACCUUCGGGCCUUGUGCUGAUGGAUGAGCUUGCGUCGGAUUAGCUUGUUGGUGAGGUAAAGGCUCACCAAGGCGACGAUCCGUAGCUGGUCUGAGAGGAUGACCAGCCACACUGGGACUGAGACACGGCCCAGACUCCUACGGGAGGCAGCAGUGGGGAAUCUUGGACAAUGGGGGCAACCCUGAUCCAGCCAUGCCGCGUGUGUGAAGAAGGCCUUCGGGUUGUAAAGCACUUUCAGCAGGGAGGAAGGCUUUGGGCUAAUACCCUGGAGUACUUGACGUUACCUGCAGAAGAAGCACCGGCUAAUUUCGUGCCAGCCGCCGCCGUAACAC